rnacentral:lncRNA from 1 species
GGUGUGUGAGUGUUUCGGGGUUGAGGAUGAUGACCCUUUAAUGCUGGAUCUUGAGCAGGCCUCGGAGAGAGAAAGUCAUUGGGUCUCCAUUGACUGCCCAGGGGUGGAGACAUUUGGGCCAUCAGUCCACCCUCUUUGAGUGACGGAGGCAUCCCGUCAGCAUCAGUGUAUGGUUUUCGUGUUUCUCCUAAUGAGUUUUGCUCUGUUGGAAAUGCCAUCUGCCU